rnacentral:rRNA from 1 species
AGGGGGGUUUUGAUCCUGGCUCAGAAUCAACGCUGGCGGCGUGCCUAACACAUGCAAGUCGAGCGAGAAAGGAGACUUCGGUCUCUUAGUAAAGCGGCGCACGGGUGAGUAACGCGUGGGUAAUCAACCUUCGAGUGGGGAAUAACAGCGGGAAACUGCUGCUAAUUCCGCAUGAUGUUCACAGACUUCGGUUUGUGAACCAAAGCCGGGGACCUUCGGGCCUGGCGCUUGAAGACGAGCCCGCGUCCGAUUAGUUUGUUGGUGGGGUAAUGGCCUACCAAGACUUCGAUCGGUAGCCGGCCUGAGAGGGCGGACGGCCACACUGGAACUGAGACACGGUCCAGACUCCUACGGGAGGCAGCAGUGGGGAAUUUUUCGCAAUGGGGGAAACCCUGACGAAGCAACGCCGCGUGAAGGAUGAAGGCCUUCGGGUCGUAAACUUCUGUCAACUGGGAAGAAAGCGUCCAACCUAAUACGUUGUGGCGUUGACUGUACCGGUGGAGGAAGCUCCGGCUAACUUCUGUGCCAGCAGCCGCGGUAAUACAGAGGGAGCAAGCGUUGUUUCGGAAUUACUGGGCGUUAAAGGGGCGCGUAGGCGGUUCAGCAAGUCUUGUGUGAAAUCCCCCCGGCUCAACUGGGGAACUGCCUAGG